CUGUCAAGGGAAGGAGUAGGAAUUCUCUUUCUUUUUACGAAACGUUUAACCACAUGUUAAUAUUUAGUUAGAAGCAUUUCUGUCAUGGCGGUUUGUGGGUUAGUUGGAAAUGGUGCAGUUCUGGUAAUUCUUUAGUUUUUCAUUAAAAAUGUCAGUAAAAGUGCAGUGAAGGUCAUUUUAGUGAAGUUAACGUGGUUAUCAGUGUUCAUAAAAGUUGAAAUUCGCCUAAAUAGUGCAGGAUAGGAGUGUAAAGUGUAAGUUAACAGUGUCAAGGCUGGAAAACGGUUCCGUUUAGUGCAGUGUGAUAGUGGUGUGUGGUGUUCGCUAAAUGGCAAUCACCGGGUGACCGAUUAUAGUUAAAAGUAUGUUCUUCCUUGUAUAAUCGAAACUAAAAGUUCGUCUGUAAUUGCAAGCGGCAUGCAUGGAGCGGCUUGGAAAAAGGAUGUAAUCGCAUUACUUUUAAUGCGAUGUUCACCAGCCUGCAGGAUUUGGUUCCCAGCUAACAGUGAGUAAUAUUUUAAAAUAUGUGAGCCUGCAAAGAAAACAUUGAAGGGGUUAUCUGAAGGUGAGUUGAAAACGAAUUAAUAUUAACCUUCAUUUCACUGGUAUAUCUCAGGUUUAAACCAUUGAAAUGAUUUCAAAUUUUCUGUGAAGGUGGAAAAUACGUUUUUCUAUGCUAUUUAAGAAAAUCAGAAUUUUAAAAAUUCUGUUUCAUAUAUUUUCUUUCAUUCAAACUUUGUAUACCCCUUACUUCUAUUACCACCUACCAGGGUAGGUCAUACAUUUUGUUUGGGAGUUUGCGUUUCUACGCAGUUAAUCGUCUAUAUCUCAGGAUUAAGCCAUUGAAAUGAUUUCAAAUUUUCUGUGAAGGUGGAAAAUACGUUUUUCUAUGCCAUUUAAAAAAAUCAGAAUUUUAAAAAUUCUGUUUCAUAUAUUUUCUUCCAUUCAUACUUGUUAUACUCUUUUCUUCUAUAACCACUUACUAGGGUACGUCAUACAUUUUUAUGGCCACCGCUUUUAGCUACUGAAAUGACUUCAAGCUUUCGGUGCUAUGUAACAAACUGUUUUAUGUAACAUUUUUCAGAUACGACAGUUCUAAAGAAUGCAUAAUACAUUUCAGUCCGGUCUUCACAAUUCAUAUAGCAAAAAACUUUAAGGCUAGUAGAAAUAAAGAAAAAAUCUUUAAAAUUCGUAUUACAUUACAUUACAUUCCUAUUUACAUUGAUUACAGUAGAUUUUGUUCCACGAGUGACUGAUUUUUCGAGCAGACUGGUUUUUCACAUUUUGCGCAUGCGUUUCGUGUAGAUCGCCGUUUGUCAUAUCGAUAACAAUUGUCUUUGUGUUUUACGCCACCUGACGAGGCACGGAUUGCUUCUAAAUUUGGAUCGACAUUUUCUCGCAAUGUUGAAGUUAGAGAUUGCCCCAAUAUACUUUCUACUCCAUUCCGUGGCCCAAAAUGGCGCAUUAUUUGUGUAUUUUGUGAGCGCCGUUGAAUUUCGUUUGUCGUUAAUUGUUAGCAAAGAUCUUUUAAAAACAUGAGUCUGUAAUUAAUAGCGCUGUAUAAAAAUGGAUUGAUUUCUAUAUAAAUUUUAUAUGCGGCAAAUACAACAACAUCUAAGAUACAGGCGUCCCCCGAGUUACGACUGUAUUUGGGACCGAAAAAAGAGCCCGAAGCAAGGCGUAAGGCUGUAGUCACGGUUGCGUCGCAUGCGAUUCCGGACUCCGGACUCCAGUCGAAAUCGUCGUAAGUCGAGAAUACAGCGUUUAUAACCGUACAUAGAGAGUCGAAAUCUUUAUUCAAAUAUUCCGCUCAGAUUUAUAUUUUGCAUACACAGUUAAACGAUUAUACACCACAAUUUAAGACAACAAGUAGUUAUAUUUUGUAGCAAAUUCUAUAUUUCAAUUCUAUAAUUCAAUUCAAUUAAAAUUACAAUUAUUUUUUUACGAACGUUUGAUGAAAUUAUCCAUGGACAACUGUUUUAAUGCAUUUUUUUCGUUGUAAAUUGCCCUAUAAAAUGCAAACUCAUUUUGUACGCGACUUUUGAAUGUUGCGAAAUGCUGUUCAUCGCUUUCCUGUGCUUCGAUUUCAGAUAGAGCAAUGUUGAGAUGUUCAAAUGCUUUGGGUAAUUUCGCUGCUGAAAAAUCUUUCUUUGGCAUGCUUGGCACCUCACAACUUACAUUAGUAUCCUCAUCAUCAGAACUGUUGAUUUGUUCAUCAGUAGAUUGCAUUUCAAUCAACUCGUUAUUUGAUAAUGGCUCAUUUUGGUACAUAAUAAGUUCAUUGAUAUCUUCAAUGUCUGCCUCAAUAUCUAAAUGCAACAAUAGGGAUGCACAUUCUUGUGUUGUGUGUAGCACUUGAUUUAUGUCAUUUUCUUCUAGAAAAUCGUAAUUUUCC